GACGAAGGAUGCAAGCGUUAUCCGGAUUCAUUGGGUUUAAAGGGAGCGUAGGCGGAUUUGUAAGUCAGUGGUGAAAUCUUUGGGCUUAACCCAGAAACUGCCAUUGAUACUGCAGAUCUAGAGUACAGUUGCCGUUGGCGGAAUAUGACAUGUAGUGGUGAAAUACUUAGAUAUGUCAUAGAACACCGAUUGCGAAGGCAGCUAACGAAGCUGUAACUGACGCUGAGGCUCGAAAGUGCGGGGAUCAAACAGG
rnacentral:rRNA from 1 species